GCUCCCGGCUGUGGCCCUGGCCCACAAUGACGUCAUGUGUCUGACUGGGUUAGCCCUCCAUUGUUGUGAUAAAUUUAACAGAAUUUAUGUUUAGUCAUUCGUGAGUUUUACAGCGAGCAUUUUCGUUUAUUAAUAGCAGUUGGCUCGCAUUGUCAGGCGGUGGACUAGACUCCAUCCUGCAUUCGUCCAGUUUGCCAGCACUUUUCAAAGUCACUUGUCUUUGGCGGAGCGAAGGGAGUGGAGAGGGGAACACAGAGUAAGUUGUUGGCCUGGCUGAACCCGCACUCGGCAAAAACCAAGUCAAGAGGUUAACCCGUUUAGCUCUCAAUCACACACAAUAUCAAUUUGAAUGCACAGAGGCGGGCCAAAGCGAAUCACAUUCGCCAGGGAAACUAUGAAAAUUGAAAAACCCCAUUUUAUCAUGGCGAACACGUACGGAAGAGCACAAAUUCCACAGCAGCUACAGAACUCCGGCACAGAAACAACAAUCAGACGGGAACAAUAUUUACUGCGUGCGCACCAAAGUAUGCAGCAAGAAAAAUCACAAACGCAGGAUGAUAACAGGACGACAAAGGACACCAGGGAGGAGCUGGAGUGGGAGGAGCAGCAGUGGCAGGAGGAGCAGCGGAGGAGGAGCAGCGAGCACGACGACAAUGUUGAAAAUGACAACUUGGCAACAAUUAUAUUCCAGGACGAGUGUGGGCGGCUGUGUGUUGGCCCGCAUAUGAACAAGAAAAUGGAAACAACAAUGUCAACAGUAUCAACAUGGCGUAUGAGCAACGUUCAAUUGCAAACCCAUUCGAUUCGAGUGGCAACAAUGCGAUAAACUGUUCCAGCAGCCAGCAACAACGUUUUGCAUUUGCCCAUUCAUCGGUAGAUUGUGCAGGAAAUUGAGGGCGCGGUGUGCCAGAUGCCAACAACUUAAGUGCUCUGCAUACACAAAUAUGAAUAUAAAAACAGUUUUAAAUAUAAUUUGGGCACAACUCGCCC